rnacentral:misc_RNA from 1 species
CCUCCUUGGCCUUCUUUUUGUGAUGCUGCUUGACCUUCCUCAAAACCUUAUACUUCUGCUUCAAUGGAAUUCUUUUACUCUUACUCUUUUUGCUCUUCUUCACCAUGUUUGACUCUUUCUGAAAUGACAAUAGAGAGAAAAAAAAAAAAAAAGAGCAAAAUCGAAGAAGCCCUGGUAGUUCUGAGAAAAGGAAAUGGAGAAUAAAAAUGGGAAAGGAGACG